CAUCCCCCCAAACACAGGAAUGAGCAUGCCAGGGCGUGUGUCCCCAAGCCCCGGGGAUGCAGUGGCUACAUCUGCACAGCUGAAGCAUGACUGUCACCGACGCUGAGGAGGGUGGCAUGGGAGGGGCUUCCCCCCUGUGCUGCGCUGCCCGGAGAGGCAUGUCUCUUACGGCCGGACUCCUGGGACCCAGCGCUCCUCCCCGACACGCUCCUGAAGGUGGCACGACGGCGAUGUCACCCACAAGGAUUUCGAUGUCGGUGAUAAAGACAAAUGCUCAUGGCGGGUGAAAAUGAGAGCAGAUGCUGUUGGACUGUGCACACACCCACGUGCACACACUUGCACACACCCAGAGGUACAUGCCCACAGGCCCACGCAUGCAGUGACACACACAAGCACACGGACAUUUGCACACAUAUACAGACGCGUGCACACACAGAUGUGCACACAUGUACACUGACACGUGCACACGCACACAGAUGUUUGCACACAUGCACAGACACGUGCACACACAUGCACAGAUGUGUUCACAUGCACACAGACGUGCAUACAGACACGUGCACACAUGCACACAUACACAGAUGUUUGCACAUAUGUACACAGACCCAUGCACACACACCCAUUUACACAGACGUGCAUACAUGUACACAGACACGUGCACACACGCACACAUGUACACAGAAGUGCACACAUUUACACAGACGUUUGCACACAUAUAUAGACAUGUGCACACACAUACACAGACAUGCACACAUUUACACAGACACGUGCACACAUGCACAGAUGUGCAUACAUGUACACAGAUGUGUGUGCACAUACACAGAUGUGCACACAUGGACAUGGACAUGUGCACACAUGUACACAGAUGUUUGCACACAUAUACACAGACACAUGCACAGACGUUUGCACACAUGUACAUUUACACAGACGUGUACACAUGCACACAUGCACCCAGACAUUUGCACUCACCUACACAGACACAUGCACACAUUUACACAGACACGUGCACACACGCACACAUGUACACAGACGUGCACACACAUGCACACAAAGAAACACAGCAUAAUGUCAACCUGGUUGUGAAAAUGUAGGCAAUGUCUUUAUUUCCACCUCAUUACACU
rnacentral:lncRNA from 12 species